rnacentral:lncRNA from 1 species
UUUAAGAUUACAUUUAACAGCUGAUUGGUUUUUUUUGUCGAUUUCUCGCUUUUAUGUACACACACAAACAUAACUAACAAUUAUGCUCAAUUAGACAAAAAAAUACAUUACAUUAGAUACGCAUAAAGAUACAUAUAUAAAGAUAAAGAUAAAGAUAAAGAUACACAUAAACAUAGUAGACUACGGGCUAAGAUUAAGAAUUAACAACUUUGAUGCAGGUCAAACAGACAGACAGACAGAUGGUACAAAAAAAUAAAAUAAAGACACAUUUGGAUGGGAUUGAAAGGGAUUUCGCCUUCGCGAGCAGAACUAUUGAGGAUGGGGCAGUGGCAGUGGCAGUGGAAUGGAAUGAAGUAGAAUAUUUGGGUCGCAACUCGAGGGGGAAACUUAAAA